CAGUCUUCUUUUUUUCUCUCUCAUUGUCCAGAGAGCCCCACAGGGGAAACAUCAGUCGACCAGGGGCAGUCAAAAUGAGUGACAAUACUACUUUGGCUCCUCCAGCGGCAAGCCAAGCUCCUGCCACCCCACGCAAAGGGCCUCCCAAGUUCAAGCAGAGACAGACUCGCCAAUUCAAGAGCAAACCUCCUAAAAAGGGUGUGAAAGGGUAAGACCAAAAGGAAAAAGAAAGCCUACUGCUCCCACAAGACUACUCUGGUUUUGAGAAACUAAUGCUCCUAAUAUUGAACAGACUUACACAAAUUUCCACCCCACCCUCUGUUUUCCUGUCUAACUCAGGCUUUGCUGAGUCAUGUCUUUAGUUUUGUAACUCUUCCCCUCCCAGUUCGCAGGUCCAUGGCCAAACUUAUCAUGUGAAAUGGAGCCUCUCAAAAUAACCUUGGAUUCGACCUUCCAGGAUUUUCUUGACCACCCUUUGUUGACAUUCCUUGUGCUUUAAUACUGGAAUACUGAACCACUGGUCGUUUCCAAAAAACACAAUUUAUUUUUAUGUUUUACACUUUGAUGUCUUCAGUUCUUUCUUUUCUCUCCCUCUCCUUGAAAAAAUCCUGUCAACACACAGCUCAAUUCAAUACUCUAUUCAUAUUGCUUUUGAACUCUGAAACUUUAUCCUUACUUUCAUGUUUGCUCUAUGAUUAGUAUUUAGCUAUCAUAAUUUGACUUUUCUUUCUUUCUUAUUUUUUUUUGGUAUAGCAUUUAUUAAUUUACAUCUGUUCCCCAAGGCUAAAAUCCCUCAGAGGAAAUUUGUUUAUUGUUUUCCUUAACUUUCUGUGACUAACAUGAUGUUGGGCACAUAGCAGAUGCUAAGUUAAUGCUUGUGAAUGUGAACAGGCAGAUGAAUUGAAUCUAAGGGUCUUUUGUAAGUAGUGCUCUCUAAUUUCAGUUUCUAUUUUACAAAGUGAAGCUUAAGUAAGUUGUCCUCUUAGUCAUUCUUUCUGGUUUUCAAAUGUCUUAGACUAAAGUUUCUAGAGAAGAUAAAAAAUCUCCCUCCAGAGAUGCACUAAGUCCUACUGGAGUGACAUUCACUUUGCUCCAGUUCAAUGCGAAUGAAAGAAAUUUCUCAAAUACAACCCUUAAGCUGCUUCUUCUUCUCCCUUGAGUCAAGAAAUUGUCCAUGUGCAUGACUCCAGGAUCCUUUUAAUUGAACUCAGCUAAAUGUUUCUUUUAUUCUUUCCACUUAGGUUUGGAGAUGACAUUCCAGGCAUGGAGGGACUAGGAACAGGUGAGCCACUCACAUGUCUAAGUGAGAACCUUGCACUUAGAGUUUCUCCUCUUUACACACUUCAGGCCUCAAGGGGCAGUUGAGAGUUACAAGGAAUACCUAAGGCAGCAGAACCUUCGAGGACAUAGAAAUGUGGGAAUUUCAUUUACCCCCCUAAGUAAAUACAUAUGUGACCAGACACAAAAACCCUAAAAGAAAUCAAGGAGACCCAAAGUUUAAUGAAUCCCCUUGUUUUAUUAAAGAACCUUUGAAGGUAUAUAAUGGGCAAUUGUAGAUUUUCAUGGUAGAAAGAUUCUCAGAGUUUGUCUAGCCCAACUUUAGUUUUCAGGAGAGAAAUCUGAGACAGAGGAAUUGAGUGACAAUGUGGGGCCACAGAGUGAGGUAUUGGAAAUAAGACAAACUUUCCACUCAACCAGGCAAACCACUCCUUAGCAACUUCCUCUUCUUGCACAUCCUCUAGCACCAAGAACAGGACCCUGCAUGCAGGAGGCAUCCAAUACAACUUUUUAAAUUGGCUAGAAUAUUUUCACUCUCUGGAUAAUGAUCGUAACUAAUGUACCCCAGGACGUGUAUGCCAUCCUAUUUUAAAAAAUUAAUAGAUUUUAUUUCUUAUAGAAAUUUUAGAUUUAGAGAAAAAUCAAGUAGAAAGUCCAGAGACUUCUUCUAUUCCACUUUUCUCUUUCCCCUCAUGCACAGUUCCCCUAUUGUUAGCAUCUUGCAGUGUGACACGAGUGUUAUAGUUGAUGAGCCAAUACUGAUACAUUAUUAUCAUAUUAAUCAGAGUCUGGGGCUUACAUAGCUUUGGGCUAAUUCCUUGUAUGAUUUUAAGUGUUUUAAUUAAUACAUAAUAGUUGUGUACCCACCAUUAUUGUACCAUAGUUUCACUGCCCUAAACAACCCCUGUGUUCCAACUGCUCAUCUCUCUCUCCUUCCUCCCAAACUCCUGACAACCACAAAUAUUUUUAUCUUACUUUUGCCUUUUCCAGGAUGUCAUAUAGUUAGAAUCUUACAGUAUAAAGUUUUUUCACACUGGCUUCUGUCACUUAUCAAUAUUAGCUUAAGGUUCAUCCAUGGCUUUAUGUGGCUUGACAGCUCAUUUCUUUUUAUUGUUGAAUAAUAUUCCAUUGUAUGAACAUACCACAGUUUAUUUAGCCUAUUGAAGGACUUGAUUUUUUUCAUGUGUACACAAGUCAAGCCAUUGUCUAUGUGCGAGCUCUCGCGCACACACACACACACAUAUAUUUAUAUUUGUGUGCAGGUUUUUGUGUGAAUAUAUGUUUUGAACUCAUUCAACAUGGUUGAUAACUGGUGACUCUCAUAGAAGUCAGUGUUCUUACCAGGAGAUACUCAGUGUGUUUGCAUUCUAUAUUCAGUGGCACUCCUGGGAUCACAAAUAGAUUUUCUAGUCACUUUAUAAUGGUCAUUUGUUGUUCUAGGUCAGUUGCUUCUGUAUUUUGGCCAGAUCAGCAUAUUUGCUUUGAGCUCUAGAAGACAGGCUUAAACUCCUGACACAUUUGGAACAAUGUAAACAGAUUUAUUCUGAAGGAAGAUCUGAGGUCUUUGACCUGGUUCUAGUCCCAUAUAUAUAACUAGUUUUAUUGAUUGAUUGAUUGAUUGCUAAUUGUUUACUCUGGGUAUAAGCCAGCUUCUUUGUAAUGGGGGAUAGUAAUAUCUGAAACAAGCAGCUGAAUUAGAUGAUGCCUUGAGAUUGCCUGUCAGUACGUGAUUUGAUAUAGACGUUUCAAAAUGUAGAGGAACUGAAGAGUGAGUCAGAGAAACACAAGGAACCCAUUUGGGUAGGAGUAAGACCACUGAUUCUCAGACCCCGGGGAUUUACAGUGCUCCCAAUUCCCUUUUUAAUCUUCGACCUGACUAGAAUUCCACUUCUGCUUUCUCCAUGGUAGUUGAAGUUUAGGGAGACUCAGUGAGCCAUAACCCACAGUGUACUCCAGUCAAGCCAUUGUCACCUUCCCAAAGAGGAUACAGAAUGAAACCAACAGAGAUACCAGGGCAGUGGGGGCAGCAGAGGUGGGGACAAUAAUUGUGCAAUUGAUGGGAUUCUUCCUGGGCUAUAGGGCCAGUCUGGAUAGCUUCCCAGUAGCCAGGGGGCGGAGGGAGGAGAAAGGUGUCUCUGCCUGAAGGGUAUCCUUUGCGUGGAAGAGGCUCUCCUUCCUUGCGAGGAAGAGGCUCUCUUACACACACACACACACACACACACACACACACAGUGGAUGAGGUUGGCUUACAUAUUCUUCUUUCAUCUCUCGCAGAUAUCACGGUGAUUUGUCCUUGGGAGGCAUUCAGCCACCUAGAACUGCAUGAGCUUGCCCAGUUCGGGAUUAUCUAAAGCACCAGAGGUUCUGCCAACGCUCAACAAUAUCUGCUGUAAAAUUGACUGCUUUUGCUCUAUUGUUCUGACAGAGGCUUAAAAUUCAGUAUUUAGAAGGAGUUUCUUGGGCUUCUGUGGUCAUUUUCCAUCAGUUAUCAAGAGUUCUCUUGGUGUCAGAAUCUCUCUUGCAGCCCAUAGCUCAGCUAGGAGUGUGAUUGAAAACCUACUUUUGUUGGGUCAUUUUAAACUUACCACCCUUUCUAUCAACUGAUUAGAAGUCAUCAAUACUUCUGUACAUUUUGUUUUAUGUGUAAGUUUCUCAAAUCUAAUUUGCUUGGCAUUCAUUGUAAUUAGUAGUAGAAUUUUAAGAUAGCAUGUCAUUCUUCGCCCCUUCUUAUUUAAGAAAGGAGACAUUUACCUUGAAUCUUAUGGUGAAAUUGUACUAAAUACUGCAUACAAAUACUUGAUGACCUGUUCUGAGAACCAAUUAAACAAAGAAGGCACAGUCAUGUGGAAAUAGGUACAUGGUGCUUGUGAAAGAGCACAAGAUUAAGAUUCAAGUCAUAGUUCUGCUUUGUCAAUUUCACUUUCUUGGUCUAUAUUUUAUUGAAUUAGGCUAUCCUGAGGUCCCAUGUAGCUGUGAAUUGUAUAAUUCUACGAUAGUUGAAGACUGGACACUUAAACUCACAACUCUGACAACAUGAGUCUACUUUUUAGUGCUCUGUUUUGGGAAAGUUCCUAUUUGUAGCCUCCCUUUGGUGGAAUUAUUCUGUCCAAUGGCUUAAGGUGAGAGUCACAGCUUAUUUGUAUAUGCAUCGGCUGGAUUUCUGUACAUUUAUAAUAAAUCACUUUUAAACCAUUCGUUUAAAAGCUUUAUAUGCUAUAGAUGCAAAGUACAGAUAGUUGAACCCUC
rnacentral:lncRNA from 1 species